rnacentral:rRNA from 1 species
AGCGAACGCUGGCGGCAGGCCUAACACAUGCAAGUCGAACGGAUCCUUCGGGAUUAGUGGCGGACGGGUGAGUAACACGUGGGAACGUGCCCUUUGGUUCGGAACAACUCAGGGAGACUUGAGCUAAUACCGGAUGUGCCCUUCGGGGGAAAGAUUUAUCGCCAUUGGAGCGGCCCGCGUCCGAUUAGCUAGUUGGUGGGGUAAAGGCCCACCAAGGCGACGAUCAGUAGCUGGUCCGAGAGGAUGAUCAGCCACAUUGGGACUGAGACACGGCCCAAACUCCUACGGGAGGCAGCAGUGGGGAAUCUUGCGCAAUGGGCGAAAGCCUGACGCAGCCAUGCCGCGUGAAUGAUGAAGGUCUUAGGAUUGUAAAAUUCUUUCACCGGGGACGAUAAUGACGGUACCCGGAGAAGAAGCCCCGGCUAACUUCGUGCCAGCCGCCGCCGUAACAC